rfam:Triticum aestivum genome assembly, contig: Triticum_aestivum_CS42_TGACv1_scaffold_361263_4DS
AUAUUACUCCCUCCGUUCGGAAUUACUUGUCUCGGAAAUGUAUAUAUCUAGAAUUAAAAUACGUCUAGAUACAUCCAUUUCUGCGACAAGUAAUUCCGAACGGAGGGAGUAGAUA